rnacentral:rRNA from 1 species
UACGUAGGGUGCAGGCGUUAAUCGGAAUUACUGGGCGUAAAGCGUGCGCAGGCGGUUUUGUAAGUCUGUUGUGAAAUCCCCGGGCUCAACCUGGGAAUGGCAAUGGAGACUGCAAGGCUAGAGUUUGGCAGAGGGGGGUAGAAUUCCACGUGUAGCAGUGAAAUGCGUAGAUAUGUGGAGGAACACCGAUGGCGAAGGCAGCCCCCUGGGUCAAAACUGACGCUCAUGCACGAAAGCGUGGGGAGCAAACAGG